rnacentral:rRNA from 1 species
GAUGAACGCUAGCUACAGGCUUAACACAUGCAAGUCGAGGGACGGGCGCACGGGUGAGUAACACGUAUCCAACCUUCCUUUUACUCGGGGAUAGCCUUUCGAAAGAAAGAUUAAUACCCGAUAUAAAGGAUGGGGAUGCGUUCCAUGAGGUUGUUGGUGAGGUAACGGCCCACCAAGCCUUCGAUGGAUAGUGGUUCUGAGUGGAAGGUCCCCCACAGUGGAACUGAGACACGGUCCAAACUCCUACGGGAGGCAGCAGUGAGGAAUAUUGGUGAAUGGGCGCUAGCCUGAACCAGCCAAGUAGCGUGAAGGAUGAAGGCUUAUGGGUCGUAAACUUCUUUUAUAUAAGAAUAUGUAUUAUAUGAAUAAGGAUCGGCUAACUCCGUGCCAGCAGCCGCGGUAAUAC